UACAGAGGUCUCAAGCGUUGUUCGGAUUCAUUGCGCGUAAAGGGUGUGUAGGUGGCGCCGUAAGUCGGGUGUGAAAUUUCGGAGCUUAACUCCGAAACUGCAUUCGAUACUGCGGUGCUUGAGGACUGGAGAGGAGACUGGAAUUCAUGGUGUAGCAGUGAAAUGCGUAGAGAUCAUGAGGAAGACCAGUGGCGAAGGCGGGUCUCUGGACAGUUCCUGACACUGAGACACGAAGGCCAGGGGAGCAAACGGG
rnacentral:rRNA from 1 species